AGCCGUUGGAUUUAAUCCAACGGCCUGGAUUAGAGAAGCCCUUCAACCUCGCUGGAAAUUACACUUUCCCCCUCACACUCACACUUUCCCCCUUCUCAUUUCAUUUACGGACAGACCAAAGAGAGAGAGAGAGAGAGAGAGAGAGAGAGAGAGGCGACGCGAACCAGAGAAGACGAACGAAGAGGAGAAGAUCGAAGACGAACGAAUAUCCACCCAAAGACGAACGAAGAUCCGCCGAGAUAUCUCUGUCAUCUUUUUCUCUCGGAAAAAAAAAAUUUCUGGAUCGGAAGGAAUAUUUUCUCAGAAAUUAGGGGUUUUUUUUUUUAGGACGAACGACGAAGAACAAAGAGGAGAAGAAGAACGAAGAAGAUCGACUGGAGAACGAGUUACACAUUCUUAAAGUGGAAAAGAGUUCGAACUAGACCAAAGAAGGAACGAAGAAGAAGAAAUGGAACAAGAAGAUAUUUCCAGCAUCAAUCCAUUUGGAUAUGUCAAAUAGAACUGUUUUACUGCUGCUCUCCUGCAGCAGUUUUGCUACUGUCUUCAUGCUAGUGUCUGACUAAUCUUGUUGUUGCUGCUAUUUUUUUGUGUUGGUUAUGGCCGCUGCUGUAAUGUUGUCUGCGUGGUGUAACCUAAGGCUACAAGCUGUUCUGCUGCUGUAUUAUAUGUUCUGUUGUUGUUCUCCUGUUGUCCGUGAGGUUCAUUUCUAGCUAUGGGGCUGUAUUCUCUUGAUAAGUGGAAUGGGCUGACUAAUCUCAAUGUGGAAUUGUUGUUCUUCUAUUUUUUGGAUGAUUGGGCUGACAACUCUCAUGUGGAAUGGUCUGUAUUCUCGGUUUGUUGGGUUGGUUUCAUGACUGACUAAUGGUACAUGUGUUGGAUUAUAAUUUGUAUUCUGAAGAUGGUUGACGGUGACGUACUUGAAGAUGGUAAAGUUUGAUUGUAUCAUUUUGAUUGGAUCAUAGUCCAAGUUCAUUUUUUGUUGAAUUUUCCUCUGUUUGUAUCAUCUCAAUUUGUGAGCCAAUAUCCUCAAACCAAUUAUGUGUAGUUCAUACUUUCCAUCUGUGGGGUAAAAGUUCUACGAUUGUUGUUUAA